GUUACUACAUGCUCGGCAAUUUACACAUUUCAAUUCAUUCGAUCCUCAGUGUACCGCCGGAAGCACCAGGAGCUGCAAGCCAUGCAGAUGGAGCUGCAGAGCCCUGAGUACAAGCUGAGCAAGCUCCGCACCUCGACCAUCAUGACCGACUACAACCCCAACUACUGCUUUGCCGGCAAGACCUCCUCCAUCAGUGACCUGAAGGAGGUGCCGCGGAAAAACAUCACCCUCAUUCGGGGUCUGGGCCAUGGCGCCUUUGGGGAGGUGUAUGAAGGCCAGGUGUCCGGAAUGCCCAACGACCCAAGCCCCCUGCAAGUGGCUGUGAAGACGCUGCCUGAAGUGUGCUCUGAACAGGAUGAACUGGAUUUCCUCAUGGAAGCCCUGAUCAUCAGCAAAUUCAACCACCAGAACAUCGUUCGCUGCAUUGGGGUGAGCCUGCAAGCCCUGCCCCGGUUCAUCCUGCUGGAGCUCAUGGCGGGGGGAGACCUCAAGUCCUUCCUCCGAGAGACCCGCCCUCGCCCGAGCCAGCCCACCUCCCUGGCCAUGCUGGACCUUCUGCACGUGGCUCGGGACAUUGCCUGUGGCUGUCAGUAUUUGGAGGAAAACCACUUCAUCCACCGAGACAUUGCUGCCAGAAACUGCCUCUUGACCUGUCCAGGCCCUGGAAGAGUGGCCAAGAUUGGAGACUUCGGGAUGGCCCGAGACAUCUACAGGGCGAGCUACUAUAGAAAGGGAGGCUGUGCCAUGCUGCCAGUUAAGUGGAUGCCCCCAGAGGCCUUCAUGGAAGGAAUAUUCACUUCUAAAACAGACACAUGGUCCUUUGGAGUGCUGCUAUGGGAAAUCUUUUCUCUCGGAUAUAUGCCAUACCCCAGCAAAAGCAACCAGGAAGUUCUGGAGUUUGUCACCAGUGGAGGCCGGAUGGACCCACCCAAGAACUGCCCUGGGCCUGUAUACCGGAUAAUGACUCAGUGCUGGCAACAUCAGCCUGAAGACAGGCCCAACUUUGCCAUCAUUUUGGAGAGGAUUGAAUACUGCACCCAGGACCCGGAUGUAAUCAACACCGCUUUGCCGAUAGAAUAUGGUCCACUUGUGGAAGAGGAAGAGAAAGUGCCUGUGAGGCCCAAGGACCCUGAGGGGGUUCCUCCUCUCCUGGUCUCUCAACAGGCGAAACGGGAGGAGGAGCGCAGCCCAGCUGCCCCACCACCUCUGCCUACCACCUCCUCUGACAAGGCUGCAAAGAAACCCACAGCUGCAGAGGUCUCUGUUCGAGUCCCUAGAGGGCCGGCCGUGGAAGGGGGACACGUGAAUAUGGCAUUCUCUCAGUCCAACCCCCCUUCGGAGUUGCACAAGGUCCACGGAUCCAGAAACAAGCCCACCAGCUUGUGGAACCCAACGUACGGCUCCUGGUUUACAGAGAAACCCACCAAAAAGAAUAAUCCUAUAGCAAAGAAGGAGCCACACGAGAGGGGUAACCUGGGGCUGGAGGGAAGCUGUACUGUCCCACCUAACGUUGCAACUGGGAGACUUCCGGGGGCCUCACUGCUCCUAGAGCCCUCUUCGCUGACUGCCAAUAUGAAGGAGGUACCUCUGUUCAGGCUACGUCACUUCCCUUGUGGGAAUGUCAAUUACGGCUACCAGCAACAGGGCUUGCCCUUAGAAGCCGCUACUGCCCCUGGAGCUGGUCAUUACGAGGAUACCAUUCUGAAAAGCAAGAAUAGCAUGAACCAGCCUGGGCCCUGAGCUCGGUCGCACACUCA
rnacentral:sRNA from 1 species